GAUUGGUCCUCACACCUGAGUGACAGAAGGCGUUUCUUAGGUUCUCCACAAAAUGGCCGCUCCUUCCGAAGCUCUCUGUCCACUCGCUGAUUGAGUCCUGCAGAAGACGGACGUAGGAACGAUCCAAUGAGUCUUAGGCUCUCUGGGAAUGGGGCAGGGGCCACGGUGAGACAAAUUUGCGCGGGCUCGGACUAGGCGGUCAGUCAUGGCGGCUUUCCGUGACAUGGAGGAGGUGAGCUACGGGCUACUGAGCCUGCUGGCGGCCAACCGCGCCGAGGCGCAGCAGCGGCGGCUGCUCGGGCGUCAUGAGCAGAUGGUGGAGCGACUGCUGGAGAUGCAGGACGGCGCCGACCGGCAGCUUCGGGAGACUCUGGCUGUGGAGGAGGAAGUGGCUCAGAGCCUUCUUGAACUGAAGGAAUGUACGCGCCUGGGAGGCACCGAGCUCCAGCAGCUGGAAGUGGAGCUCCAGAAGGCCAGCAAGGAGGAUUCCUGUCUGCAGGCCAGGCUCUGAUAUCCUUCACUGUGCCCAGCAGCCUCUGUCAGAGUGCACUUGGGUUAGGCUGCAGCUCAGUGCUGAAACACCCUGCCUGGGAUACCCCAGUGAGAGAUGGGAGUGUGGCUCAGUGGUAAAGCCCUUCCUAGAAUCCCCCAGUGAGGGGCUGGGAUGUGCUCGGGUAGAGCCUGCCUAGCAUCGGAUCUUGAGGUGAUUGUCCUAGCUCUCAGCCUUGCCCUUAACUGACUGCACUCAGCUCACCGCAGAGCUGCAGGAGCUCAGGGAGAUGGAGGAAGAUCUCCAGCGACAGGAGAGAGACGUGGAUGAAGACAACACUGUCACCAUCCCCUCUGCAGUAAACAAACAAACAUAAAAAGGAACCAGCCUGGUACCCAGCACUUGAGAAGCCGAGGCAGGAGGAAUCACAGUUCAAGGUUAGUGACAAACUGGGAAGACUGGAUAUACUUUCCUUUCAUCUUGCCCUCAGUUCACCACGGCCCCAGCGUGGCCCAGCCUAUCCACUUGGACAGUGCGCAGCUCUCACAGAAGUUCAUCAGCGACUACCUCUGGAGCCUGGUGGACACUGCAUGGUAGCCAGAGCCUUGACCUUGCAUAGAAUUGAGGUUGAAGGGGCCAAGAAAGGGAUCACUGUAAAAUUAAAUUCUAUAUGUAAACGA